AUGACAACUAUAUUUCACCUGUUGAGAAGAAAGCCACAUUUAAAACCUCUUGGCUAAUAUUUCAAAAAAACUAGAGGAUUCUAAAGCAGUCAGGACAAAAAAGUUGAUAUCUGAAACAGGUUGAUAGUUCUUGGAAGUUCAAAAAUAUCACAAUGGCUGGAUAGUCUUUUCAUAGGCACAACAGAAAAUAUUAGAAGAGUCAUGCCAGUUGCUACAGUUCCAGAAAGAGAGCAAAGAGAUCCUUUACGACCCCCAUGGGUUUACAGAAGUCUAUCAAUAACUCUCUCAGUCUUCCGGAUCAUUAUUCAAGUUGCUCUCCCCAACUUUUCUGGAUAUAUCAGAUCAACUCCAGCUCCAUAGGGCCUUCAAGGACAAGGAAACACAUCUCCUCAUGGUUCCAACUUGAGGUAGAAAUCUGACAGAUGGAUGAUGUGUUUUAUUCCUAUUUUUGGAACAGCAAAGUGGAGAACCGGUGAAUAUUAUAAGGACAUGCUGAAAAGUGCAUUGUUACUAUGGCAAUAAAAGAGAACAAAUGUGCAAAUUA